rnacentral:rRNA from 1 species
GACGAACGCUGGCGGCGUGCCUAAUACAUGCAAGUCGAACGAACUCUGGUAUUGAUUGGUGCUUGCAUCAUGAUUUACAUUUGAGUGAGUGGCGAACUGGUGAGUAACACGUGGGAAACCUGCCCAGAAGCGGGGGAUAACACCUGGAAACAGAUGCUAAUACCGCAUAACAACUUGGACCGCAUGGUCCGAGUUUGAAAGAUGGCUUCGGCUAUCACUUUUGGAUGGUCCCGCGGCGUAUUAGCUAGAUGGUGGGGUAACGGCUCACCAUGGCAAUGAUACGUAGCCGACCUGAGAGGGUAAUCGGCCACAUUGGGACUGAGACACGGCCCAAACUCCUACGGGAGGCAGCAGUAGGGAAUCUUCCACAAUGGACGAAAGUCUGAUGGAGCAACGCCGCGUGAGUGAAGAAGGGUUUCGGCUCGUAAAACUCUGUUGUUAAAGAAGAACAUAUCUGAGAGUAACUGUUCAGGUAUUGACGGUAUUUAACCAGAAAGCCACGGCUAACUACGUGCCAGCAGCCGCGGUAAUACGUAGGUGGCAAGCGUUGUCCGGAUUUAUUGGGCGUAAAGCGAGCGCAGGCGGUUUUUUAAGUCUGAUGUGAAAGCCUUCGGCUCAACCGAAGAAGUGCAUCGGAAACUGGGAAACUUGAGUGCAGAAGAGGACAGUGGAACUCCAUGUGUAGCGGUGAAAUGCGUAGAUAUAUGGAAGAACACCAGUGGCGAAGGCGGCUGUCUGGUCUGUAACUGACGCUGAGGCUCGAAAGUAUGGGUAGCAAACAGGAUUAGAUACCCUGGUAGUCCAUACCGUAAACGAUGAAUGCUAAGUGUUGGAGGGUUUCCGCCCUUCAGUGCUGCAGCUAACGCAUUAAGCAUUCCGCCUGGGGAGUACGGCCGCAAGGCUGAAACUCAAAGGAAUUGACGGGGGCCCGCACAAGCGGUGGAGCAUGUGGUUUAAUUCGAAGCUACGCGAAGAACCUUACCAGGUCUUGACAUACUAUGCAAAUCUAAGAGAUUAGACGUUCCCUUCGGGGACAUGGAUACAGGUGGUGCAUGGUUGUCGUCAGCUCGUGUCGUGAGAUGUUGGGUUAAGUCCCGCAACGAGCGCAACCCUUAUUAUCAGUUGCCAGCAUUAAGUUGGGCACUCUGGUGAGACUGCCGGUGACAAACCGGAGGAAGGUGGGGAUGACGUCAAAUCAUCAUGUCCCUUAUGACCUGGGCUACACACGUGCUACAAUGGAUGGUACAACGAGUUGCGAACUCGCGAGAGUAAGCUAAUCUCUUAAAGCCAUUCUCAGUUCGGAUUGUAGGCUGCAACUCGCCUACAUGAAGUCGGAAUCGCUAGUAAUCGCGGAUCAGCAUGCCGCGGUGAAUACGUUCCCGGGCCUUGUACACACCGCCCGUCACACCAUGAGAGUUUGUAACACCCAAAGUCGGUGGGGUAACCUCUUAGGAACCAGCCGCCUAAGGUGGGACAGAUGAUUAGGGUG